rnacentral:misc_RNA from 1 species
GUCAGUUGAAGAAGCAAUAGGGAAGUCGUUGGUUCAUGAUCUUGUCCAUGAAGAAUCACAGACAACUGCUCAGAACCUUCUCCGCAAAGCUUUAAGAGGUGAAGAAGAUAAGAACAUAGAAAUAAAGUUAAGGACAUUUGGAGCUGAGCAACUGAAGAAGACGGUUUUUGUGGAGGUUAAUGCUUGCUCUAACAAAGACUACACAAAUAACAUUGUUGGUGUCUCCUUCAUUGGCCAGGAUAUUACCGCCCAAAAAGUUGUACUGGACAAAUUUGUUCGCAUACAAGGUGAUUACAAGGCCAUUAUGCACAGCCCUAAUCCUCUGAUCCCGCCCAUUUUUGUAACAGAUGAGAACACUUGUUGCUUUGAGUGGAACACUGCGAUGGAAAAACUUAGUGGUUGGAACAAAGAAGAAAUCAUUGGGAAAAUGUUGGUUGGUGAGAUUUUUGGCACUUUCUGCCGGCUCAAGGGCCCAGACGACAUGACAAAAUUCAUGAUCAUGUUGCAUAAGGCAAUUGGAGGCCAGGAGAUAGACAAGUUCCCUUUUUCCUUUUCUGACCGAAAUGGAAAAUUUGUUCAAGCUCUUUUGACUGCAAACAAGAGAGUCAAUGUGGAUGGCCAAAUUAUUGGGGCCUUUUGUUUCUUGCAGAUUGCAAGUCCUGA